GACGAACGCUGGCGGCGUGCCUAAUACAUGCAAGUAGAACGCUGAAGGAGGAGCUUGCUUCUCUGGAUGAGUUGCGAACGGGUGAGUAACGCGUAGGUAACCUGCCUGGUAGCGGGGGAUAACUAUUGGAAACGAUAGCUAAUACCGCAUAAUAGUAGAUGUUGCAUGACAUUUGCCUAAAAGGUGCAAUUGCAUCACUACCAGAUGGACCUGCGUUGUAUUAGCUAGUUGGUGGGGUAACGGCUCACCAAGGCGACGAUACAUAGCCGACCUGAGAGGGUGAUCGGCCACACUGGGACUGAGACACGGCCCAGACGCCUACGGGAGGCAGCAGUAGGGAAUCUUCGGCAAGGGACGGAAGUCUGACCGAGAAACGCCGCGUGAGUGAAGAAGGUUGUCGGAUCGUAAAGCUCGGUUGUAAGAGAAGAACGAGUGUGAGAGUGGAAAGUUCACACUGUGACGGUAUCUUACCAGAAAGGGACGGCUAACUACGUG
rnacentral:rRNA from 1 species